rnacentral:misc_RNA from 1 species
CAUAUUAGAAUCCAAAUUCAAGAAUACUUUUUCCCUCCCGCUUCUACCACUGUUGGGUUCUUCAUCUUCCAUGGCCCAAUCAGUUCCAUUUCCAUCGCAGCAGCAGCCAGUGCUUCACCAGAGCGACGCAGAUGAUGAUGACGAGAACGUUAAGCAGCUCAGAGAAUGCUCCUCUCUCUAUCUUUCCCUACAGGAUUGUCUUAUUGACAAUAAUAGGAACUGGAAAUCUUGCCAGAAAGAAGUUCAAGCCUUGAAGGCAUGCAAUGAGAGGAUGAAGAACGAUAAAGUGAAGUGAAGAUUUUGCGAUUAAGAAGCUUCCUAGUUCCUAAAGAAAUUACCUCACAAUUCCUUUGACUUCAAUGAUAAUUUGUGUGAACAUUUAAAAUCUGAACUUUAAUGUCUUUGUUUCACUGGAAAAGCAGUGUGUGAGUGAGAGCAUACUGGUUCUAAUUCAAUAAUAGGAUGAAUAUUUAAGAAAUAAUAAUGUAAUAAUAAGGUUUAUC